GAGAGACAGAAAGACACCCUGAACAUGCCUGAUCUUGUCUGAUCUUGGAAGAUAAGCAGGGUCGGGCCUGGUUAGUACUUGGAUGGGAGAAAGACACUUGCAGACCUGCUUCAUC
rnacentral:rRNA from 1 species